AUUGAACGCUGGCGGCAGGCCUAAAACAUGCAAGUCGAGCGAGCGGCGGACGGGUGAGUAAUGUAUGGGGACUGCCCGAUAGAGGGGGAUAACUACUGGAAACGGUCGCUAAUACCGCAUACUAUCGGAUAACCCAUAUGGGAUUAGCUAGUAGGUGAGGUAAUGGCUGACCUAGGCGACGAUCUCUAGCUGGUCUGAGAGGAUGAUCAGCCACACUGGGACUGAGACACGGCCCAGACUCCUACGGAGGCAGCAGUGGGGAAUAUUGCACAAUGGGCGAAAGCCUGAUGGAGCCAUGCCGCGUGAAUGAAGAAGGUCCUAGGGUUGUAAAGUACUUUCGGUCGGGAGGCGUUAACGACAGAGGAAGCACCGGCUAACUCCGUGCCAGCAGCCGCGGUAAUUC
rnacentral:rRNA from 1 species